UUAGUAACUGCGAGUGAAGCGGGAAUAGCUCAAAUUUAAAAUCUGGCAGUCUUUGGCUGUCCGAAUUGUAGCCUAGAGAAGUGUUGCCCGUGCUGGACCAUGUAUAAGUCUCCUGGAACGGAGUGUCACAGAGGGUGAGAAUCCCGUGUUUGACAUGGACUGCCAGUGCAUUUGUGGUAUGCUCUCAAAGAGUUGAGUUGUUUGGGAAUGCAGCUCUAAAUGGGUGGUAAAUUCCAUCUAAAGCUAAAUAUUGGCGAGAGACCGAUAGCGAACAAGUACCGUGAGGGAAAGAUGAAAAGAACUUUGGAAAGAGAGUUAAACAGUAUGUGAAAUUGUUGAAAGGGAAACGUUUGAAGUCAGUCACGUUGGUCAGGGAUCAACUCAGCUAACUUGCUGGGUGCACUUCUUGGCACAAUGGGUCAACAUCAGUCUUGACUGCUAGAGAAAGGCGGAGGGAAUGUGGCACCUUUUUGGGUGUGUUAUAGUCCUCAGUCAUAUGCAGCAGUUGGGACUGAGGAAAAGCAACACGCCGCAAGGCCGGGUCGUUUUGACCACGUUCGUGCUUAGGAUGUUGGCAAAUAAUGGCUUUAAGCGACCCGUCUUGAAACACGGACCAAGGAGUCUAACAUGCCUGCGAGUGUUUGGGUGGAAAACCCGAGCGCGCAAUGAAAGUGAAAGUUGAGAUCCCUCUUAUG
rnacentral:rRNA from 1 species